rnacentral:rRNA from 1 species
UACGUAGGGUGCAAGCGUUGUCCGGAAUUAUUGGGCGUAAAGAGCUCGUAGGCGGUUUGUCGCGUCUGCUGUGAAAACUCGGGGCUCAACUCCGAGCUUGCAGUGGGUACGGGCAGACUAGAGUGCGGUAGGGGAGACUGGAAUUCCUGGUGUAGCGGUGGAAUGCGCAGAUAUCAGGAGGAACACCCAUAGCGAAGGCAGCUUGCUGGGACGUUACUGACGCUAAGGCGCGAAAGCGUGAGGAGCGAACAGG